AAGAAAAAUUUGUUCAGCAUAUGAGUGGUAGAUACGACCAAAGCUACAUCUCUCAGCAAGUCAGUGCUCCAGCUUAAGCAACAAGAAAAAAAAAAGCUCUAUAUAGAACUGUGACAAACAUAGUUACUGCAUGGAACUAAGAAAAUGAUGUUUGUAGCGUGUAGAAGCUAGAAAAGAAAGAUGAAAUCAAUUUAAACUUUUUCAAAACCAAUAGCUAGACUGAGACUGUUCAGUCCUGAAUAUAUAUGUGUACAUAUGUGUAUGUACACAUAUAUACAAACAUUGGGUUCUCAUUUUGUUUUGGAAAGGUGAAGCUGGUCACCCCCAGAGUUAAUGGGAAAAUAUGUGGGAUUAGAAAUUGUGCCCCAGUAUUCUGGGACUCCUGCCCAAGCCACAGUGAUGGCUUUUCCCCUCUUAUGAUUGCUGCUGUACUGAAAUUUACCAUCAGUCAGCCAUAGAACAGAGCAACUCCCAAGGUUCCAGCUACUACAGUGACUCAUUUGGUGUGUCAUCAUUCCCUGGAGAAUGGAGGUACCACAUCAAAUCAUGGCCCAUCCUAAAGUCUAGUGCCACUGAAAUUUACAGCCACAGAACUGAAUUAAUCAAGAGGAACAACAACAACAAGAGUUCUCUUCCAAAAUGAUAGCUUUUUUGUAGCUCUGAAAUGAGAGGAACCCAAUCCAGAAGAAUCCACAGAAGGAGGAAAAGCCAGCAGAAAGGCAGCAGAUUAGACACAAAAUUGUAAUUGUUAGUACGCAACUGAUAAAUACAAAAGGGCGAAGAGAAUGUCAAUCCAGAAUGAUGCAAAUCCCUUCAUUAUUACUCUCGGUAUACGUCGUUACUUUAAGAUGUUAAAAAAGAGUAAACCAAAAAGCUUCACGUUCAUUUUACAGAAAAGAUUCUCAAGAGAUUUAAAUAGAAAAAAUGGAUAGUAAUUCAUCCCAAAUUAAUUUUCAACUUUCAAAUUUUAGCCUCCAUACUCCUCUUUAAGGCUACCUGGGGGUCUAUCAUGUUACAGCAGUGAAGCUGGAUGCUAAGUUGUUACGACGCCUGUUGGACCCUGCUUAAAAAGUUUGGUCCAGAAAAUAUAGUCCUGGAGGCAUGAAAAAUAGCAGAAAAACUGUAAUAUUAAUUCAUGUGGAAAAUAAUAUGGGGAAAGAGUAGAAGAGAUUAGAGAAGUUCAUAGAAAGUACCCAAGUCUCUUUAACUGCUACUUUCAACAUCUUUUUGCCAAAGUUGCUGAGUAGAAAUUAUGGAAUGAUAGGAGUUGUUUCUCUUCCUGUUUUAUAGUUAAAGGACUGCUAAUGAUCAGCAAAUAGCCAAAGGCAGAGGAGUCAAUCCAAGAUCUCUUCGGUUCUUUCCUAAUCAGAACACAGAUUUACAAAGAUGACACAACUGUCCGGAGGUCACACUGAAAUUAUAGACAGAGCUGGAGUUCUGAUUUCUGAAAGUCCUAUUCUCAGUCACUAUGCUAAAUGAGCCUCUAAGGGACAUACCAGGGAUACAACAGCCCUUUUAAUCCGGAAGAACGAGGGGCUGAAGGAAAUAAAAAGUAAGCCUGAACCAGACCAGAGAAUUAAAAUGGUAUGCGUUUAAGUUUGGUUUAUUUAAAUAUUUGCUCUAAGAAUAUGAAGUUGCCUAUAAAUAGAAAAAAGAUAACAGAAUGGCUGUUUUCUU
rnacentral:lncRNA from 1 species